AUGGAGAGCGUGGAUGAAAAUGGAGGAAGCCGCCUUGUGGUGACCGAGCUGGGCUACAUCAAGGAGCUGGUGAGGCAGCUGGACGUGAACCUGGGAGGCUGCCCCGACCACUGCAAGCGCCUGGCCGCCCAGAUCUUCGCUGUGACCGAGAGGUCCAUCGGCAUGAUCAGGUCCGGGCACUUCGACAGCCGGAAGCGCUCCGCCGCCGGCCUCGACUCGCCGCCGUUCUCCGCGACGCCCAGCCCCCUGAGCGACGUUUCGGGCAUGCCUUUCCAUACCAACAACAAGAAGAGGAAAACAAUGGAGAAACGGAAGCAUCAGGUCAGGGUGAGCUCGGAGGGAGGAGGAGCAGAGACCCCAGUCGACGACGGCCACAGCUGGAGGAAGUACGGCCAGAAGGACAUUCUUGGAGCCAAGCACCCAAGGGGGUACUACCGCUGCACGCACCGCAAGUCCCAGGGAUGCGCGGCGACCAAGCAGGUGCAGCGCGCCGACGAGGACCCGGCGCUCUUCGACGUGAUCUACCACGGCGAGCACACCUGCGUUCAUAAGACGGUGGCGGCCGCGGCGGCCAUGGUGCAGCCGGCGGAGGAGAACCCGGACGCGCGUAGGCAUCUGCAGAACCUGAGCACGAGCCUGACGGUGAACACCGAGGGGCUCACGGCGGGUCAUCAGGGCUGCAGCACCACCACGUCCUUCUGCUUCUCCUCGCAGGCGGCGGGCGUGCUGACGAUGCCGCAAGAGCACUACCCGUUCUCCAUGCCGUCGACGCCGGAGAACUGCUUUGGGCAAGGCGCGUCGCUGUCGACGUCCCUUGAGCCCUCGCCGGUGACCUCGGACUCGAACCGCUUCUCCAUGAGCCCGUUCCAGGCGGAGUGGAGGGCGCGGUCUGAGUACGACGAGGUGGUGUCCGCGCUCGUAGCAGCGGGGACGAUGCCGGCGCUCACCAUGGAGAUGGAGGAGGAGACCGCCUUCUCGCUGGACGAGUUUGAGUUUGACGUUUCUUGCUUCCUUGCAUGA
rnacentral:rRNA from 1 species